rnacentral:rRNA from 1 species
UACGGGGGGGGCAAGCGUUGUUCGGAAUUACUGGGCGUAAAGGGCUCGUAGGCGGCCAACUAAGUCAGACGUGAAAUCCCUCGGCUUAACCGGGGAACUGCGUCUGAUACUGGAUGGCUUGAGUUUGGGAGAGGGAUGCGGAAUUCCAGGUGUAGCGGUGAAAUGCGUAGAUAUCGGGAGGAACACCUGUGGCGAAAGCGGCUCACUGGACCACAACUGACGCUGAGGCGCGAAAGCUAGGGGAGCAAACAGG